UACGUAGGGGGCUAGCGUUGUCCGGAAUCAUUGGGCGUAAAGAGCGUGUAGGCGGUCCGGUAAGUCCGCUGUGAAAGUCGGGGGCUCAACCCUCGAAUGCCGGUGGAUACUGUCGGGCUAGAGUGCGGAAGAGGCGAGUGGAAUUCCUGGUGUAGCGGUGAAAUGCGUAGAUAUCUGGAGGAACACCGGUGGCGAAGGCGGCAUCCUGGACCAACACUGACACUGAGGAGCGAAAGCCAGGGGAGCAAACGGG
rnacentral:rRNA from 1 species